rnacentral:lncRNA from 1 species
GGCGCCGCAGCCGGGCGGCCUCUGCCGCGGGGGAACGGUGGCGGCCGGGCCGAGGGAGGUGGCGGACCGAGGCGGUACCGAGGCAGGCGGCGCGCUCUGCCCCGCUUCCGGGGGAAGGCGCUGCCCCUCGGUGUUCCCGGAGCUCUAUGGCAAUGGGAAGCGCAGUGCUGCGCUCUGCCGCCUCCGCCUGGCGGCCCGGCUGCGGACACGGGGGACGGUCCUCACAGAGGCGGCAGUGGAACAGGCUGGUGCCCCGUCAGCUGCUGGGAAGCUGAUUGGGUUCCUUGUCGGGCAGAUGAAAGGAGAAACUAAAGCAAUUUGUGUGUCCUGUUGGAGCGUAAAAUGAGAUUUAUAGGUUUCCUGGGUUUUUUAAUAAAAUUGAACGUACUCCUGCAAUUGUUGAUUUAUUGGAUAGUUAAAAGAGUUGCUUAUGUUUGUAAUGUUUGGGGUUGGCCUCUUCUCUUGUGUAAUCGAUGACAGAACUAGAGGGAAUGGUUUUAAGCUGUGCCAGGGGAGAUUCAGGCUGGACAUUAGGAAGUAUUACUUCUCGGAAAGGGUAGUCAGUCAUUGAAAUGCACUGCACAGGGAGGUGGUGGAGUCACCGACCAUGGGAGUGUUCAAGAAACGUUUGGAUGUUGUGUUGAUGAAUAUGAUUUAUCUGGGAAGUAUUGGUAAUGGUUGGACUAGAUGAUCUUCUAGGUCUUUUCCAACCUUGAUAGUUCUGUGAUUCUGUAAUGAUCCAUAAAUUACCCGUUGCGUUUUUAAUGGAGUUGGUUUUUAUCUGUUUGAUUUUUUUCAUAGCUUGAUUCCCUUAUAAGUUACUGGAAUGAGCACAAAUAAUCAUCGCAAUCAAAACAACAAAAGCAGUUCUGUAAUCAGACCAUCAAUACAUGGACAGGAGCAAAGCAAAUGGCUGUACAGUUAUGCUGUGAUCUUUGGUCUUCUCAAGCCCUCUUUGUAUCACUGUUUCAUUCUGUCCCUUCUUCCAUUUCUCAUACAGCGCUGCAAUGUGUCCCACCUGCUCAAUGGUUUGUCAUUGUGUUCCAAGAUGGGAAAAUGGAAGACACCAGAAUUGGGCUGGAUUCCGAGGCCAGCACUGGCAAGACUUGACGUCAAUGGAUUCUGAACAGGCUCAUGGAUAUUUCUGUAUGGCAAAGAUAGUGCCAGGUGAAGACACCCAGGAUGGGUCUAGGUGAGCUUCUACAAGGAUAGAAGGUUGGAAUUGCUGCUGGUAAUCCUGACUAAUUAGCCUUGCUGAAAUGCUGGCUUUUGUGAUCUGGGCAGAGAGCUCAGCUGAAGCAGUGAUUUUCCUCCUGAUGUGAAUGAGUUCAGGUAUCUCUGAAUCACUCCGUGUGCCACAUGAAGCUGAUUUCAGUGCAGAACCAUAAACCCAACAGCUCUCUAAAGAACUUUUCAUUAAUGUAAUUUAUUAGUCAAGUCAUUCCUCUGACCUAUUUCCCAUUCAACUAGUGUGUCUCCCCAUCUACUCAAUAUAAUUGGUGUAGAACUUCACUGCCUGGGCUUAAAUGGCCUGACAUCUAUCACUGAGUCACAGGAUAUUAAGAGAAAGGUGAGAGAAUUCUUGGUGUGCUGCCACUGAGAUCAGAUUGGGUUUCUUGCCCAAGCAAAAACAUGUGGCUGUAUAAAAGGGGCUCAUGCCACUUCAGCUUAGCCCUUGCUCAAGGCUUGGCCACAUGCUGGAAAACAAUGGAGGCUUUUGCUGGGGGUUGGAGGUCAGUCCUUGGCUGUGAUGUUGUAUUAGUCUGUACGGGAUGUUGCUGAGGAGAGCCGCUCUGUUAGUUUCAUGCUGUUAUCAUCUGGCCAGCCAUGGGAGGUGGCACAUCCCACUUGCCUCACAUGCCAGCUCAUCUA